rnacentral:rRNA from 1 species
CACGUAGGGGGCAAGCGUUGUCCGGAAUCAUUGGGCGUAAAGAGCGUGUAGGCGGCCCGAUAAGUCCGCUGUGAAAGUCCAGGGCUCAACCCUGGGAUGCCGGUGGAUACUGUCGGGCUCGAGUCCGGAAGAGGAGUGUGGAAUUCCUGGUGUAGCGGUGAAAUGCGUAGAUAUCAGGAGGAAUACCGGUGGCGAAAGCGACUCUCUGGACGGCAACUGACGCUGAGGCACGAAAGCGUGGGGAGCAAACAGG